GGUUAAGCGACUAAGCGUACACGGUGGAUGCCCUGGCAGUCAGAGGCGAUGAAGGACGUGCUAAUCUGCGAUAAGCGCCGGUAAGGUGAUAUGAACCGUUAUAACCGGCGAUUUCCGAAUGGGGAAACCCAGUGUGACUCGUCACACUAUCAUUAACUGAAUCCAUAGGUUAAUGAGGCGAACCGGGGGAACUGAAACAUCUAAGUACCCCGAGGAAAAGAAAUCAACCGAGAUUCCCCCAGUAGCGGCGAGCGAACGGGGAGGAGCCCAGAGCCUGAAUCAGCAUGUGUGUUAGUGGAAGCGUCUGGAAAGGCGCGCGAUACAGGGUGACAGCCCCGUACACAAAAGCGCAUGUGCUGUGAGCUCGAUGAGUAGGGCGGGACACGUGGUAUCCUGUCUGAAUAUGGGGGGACCAUCCUCCAAGGCUAAAUACUCCUGACUGACCGAUAGUGAACCAGUACCGUGAGGGAAAGGCGAAAAGAACCCCGGCGAGGGGAGUGAAAAAGAACCUGAAACCGUGUACGUACAAGCAGUGGGAGCACCCUUCGGGGUGUGACUGCGUACCUUUUGUAUAAUGGGUCAGCGACUUAUAUUCUGUAGCAAGGUUAACCGAAUAGGGGAGCCGGAGGGAAACCGAGUCUUAAUUGGGCGUUAAGUUGCAGGGUAUAGACCCGAAACCCGGUGAUCUAGCCAUGGGCAGGUUGAAGGUUGGGUAACACUAACUGGAGGACCGAACCGACUAAUGUUGAAAAAUUAGCGGAUGACCUGUGGCUGGGGGUGAAAGGCCAAUCAAACCGGGAGAUAGCUGGUUCUCCCCGAAAGCUAUUUAGGUAGCGCCUCGUGAAUUCAUCUCCGGGGGUAGAGCACUGUUUCGGCUAGGGGGCCAUCCCGGCUUACCAACCCGAUGCAAACUGCGAAUACCGGAGAAUGUUAUCACGGGAGACACACGGCGGGUGCUAACGUCCGUCGUGAAGAGGGAAACAACCCAGACCGCCAGCUAAGGUCCCAAAGUCAUGGUUAAGUGGGAAACGAUGUGGGAAGGCCCAGACAGCCAGGAUGUUGGCUUAGAAGCAGCCAUCAUUUAAAGAAAGCGUAAUAGCUCACUGGUCGAGUCGGCCUGCGCGGAAGAUGUAACGGGGCUAAACCAUGCACCGAAGCUGCGGCAGCGACACUGUGUGUUGUUGGGUAGGGGAGCGUUCUGUAAGCCUGCGAAGGUGGCCUGUGAGGGUUGCUGGAGGUAUCAGAAGUGCGAAUGCUGACAUAAGUAACGAUAAAGCGGGUGAAAAGCCCGCUCGCCGGAAGACCAAGGGUUCCUGUCCAACGUUAAUCGGGGCAGGGUGAGUCGACCCCUAAGGCGAGGCCGAAAGGCGUAGUCGAUGGGAAACGGGUUAAUAUUCCCGUACUUGGUGUUACUGCGAAGGGGGGACGGAGAAGGCUAUGUUGGCCGGGCGACGGUUGUCCCGGUUUAAGCGUGUAGGUGUGUGUUCCAGGUAAAUCCGGUUCACUUUAACACUGAGGCGUGACGACGAGGCACUACGGUGCUGAAGCAACAAAUGCCCUGCUUCCAGGAAAAGCCUCUAAGCAUCAGGUAACAUCAAAUCGUACCCCAAACCGACACAGGUGGUCAGGUAGAGAAUACCAAGGCGCUUGAGAGAACUCGGGUGAAGGAACUAGGCAAAAUGGUGCCGUAACUUCGGGAGAAGGCACGCUGACAUGUAGGUGAAGUGAUUUACUCAUGGAGCUGAAGUCAGUCGAAGAUACCAGCUGGCUGCAACUGUUUAUUAAAAACACAGCACUGUGCAAACACGAAAGUGGACGUAUACGGUGUGACGCCUGCCCGGUGCCGGAAGGUUAAUUGAUGGGGUCAGCGCAAGCGAAGCUCCUGAUCGAAGCCCCGGUAAACGGCGGCCGUAACUAUAACGGUCCUAAGGUAGCGAAAUUCCUUGUCGGGUAAGUUCCGACCUGCACGAAUGGCGUAAUGAUGGCCAGGCUGUCUCCACCCGAGACUCAGUGAAAUUGAACUCGCUGUGAAGAUGCAGUGUACCCGCGGCAAGACGGAAAGACCCCGUGAACCUUUACUAUAGCUUGACACUGAACAUUGAGCCUUGAUGUGUAGGAUAGGUGGGAGGCUUUGAAGCGUGGACGCCAGUCUGCAUGGAGCCGACCUUGAAAUACCACCCUUUAAUGUUUGAUGUUCUAACGUGGACCCGUAAUCCGGGUUGCGGACAGUGUCUGGUGGGUAGUUUGACUGGGGCGGUCUCCUCCUAAAGAGUAACGGAGGAGCACGAAGGUUGGCUAAUCCUGGUCGGACAUCAGGAGGUUAGUGCAAUGGCAUAAGCCAGCUUGACUGCGAGCGUGACGGCGCGAGCAGGUGCGAAAGCAGGUCAUAGUGAUCCGGUGGUUCUGAAUGGAAGGGCCAUCGCUCAACGGAUAAAAGGUACUCCGGGGAUAACAGGCUGAUACCGCCCAAGAGUUCAUAUCGACGGCGGUGUUUGGCACCUCGAUGUCGGCUCAUCACAUCCUGGGGCUGAAGUAGGUCCCAAGGGUAUGGCUGUUCGCCAUUUAAAGUGGUACGCGAGCUGGGUUUAGAACGUCGUGAGACAGUUCGGUCCCUAUCUGCCGUGGGCGCUGGAGAACUGAGGGGGGCUGCUCCUAGUACGAGAGGACCGGAGUGGACGCAUCACUGGUGUUCGGGUUGUCAUGCCAAUGGCACUGCCCGGUAGCUAAAUGCGGAAGAGAUAAGUGCUGAAAGCAUCUAAGCACGAAACUUGCCCCGAGAUGAGUUCUCCCUGAGACUUAGAGUCUCCUGAAGGAACGUUGAAGACGACGACGUUGAUAGGCCGGGUGUGUAAGCGCAGCGAUGCGUUGAGCUAACCGGUACUAAUGAACCGUGAGGCUUAACCUU
rnacentral:rRNA from 1 species